GAUGAACGCUGGCGGCGUGCCUAACACAUGCAAGUCGAACGGAGUCCAGCCUUAGAGUCCUUCGGGUCAAAGCGGGGAAGUCUGUGUGGCGGACGGGUGAGUAACACGUGGGCAACCUGGCUCAUAGAGGGGGAUAACAGAGAGCAAUUUCUGCUAAUACCGCAUAAGCACAUACUGCCGCAUGGCAGAGUGUGAAAAGAGAAUCGCUAUGAGAUGGACCCGCGUCUGAUUAGCCAGUUGGCAGGGUAAGAGCCUACCAAAGCGACGAUCAGUAGCCGAUUUGAGAGGAUGAACGGCCACAUUGGGACUGAGACACGGCGCAAACUCCUACAGGAGGCAGCAGUGGGGGAUAUUGCACAAUGGGGGGAACCCUGAUGCAGCGACGCCGCGUGAGUGAAGAAGUAUUUCGGUAUGUAAAGCUCUAGCAGCAGGGAAGAUAAUGACAGUACCUGAAUAAGAAGCCCCGGCUAACUACGUG
rnacentral:rRNA from 1 species